AUUGAACGCUGGCUGCAGGCCUAACACAUGCAAGUCGAGCGGGGUUUUCGGACCUAGCGGCGGACGGGUGAGUAAUGCGUAGGAAGCUGCCCGAUAGAGGGGGAUACCAGUUGGAAACGACUGUUAAUACCGCAUAAUGUCUACGGACCAAAGUGUGGGACCUUCGGGCCACAUGCUAUCGGAUGCGCCUACGUGGGAUUAGCUAGUUGGUGAGGUAAUGGCUCACCAAGGCGACGAUCUCUAGCUGGUUUGAGAGGAUGAUCAGCCACACUGGAACCGAGACACGGUCCAGACUCCGACGGGAGGCAGCAGUGGGGAAUAUUGGACAAUGGGCGCAAGCCUGAUCCAGCCAUGCCGCGUGUGUGAAGAAGGCCUUCGGGUUGUAAAGCACUUUCAGCGAGGAGGAAGGGAUGUAUGUUAAUAGCAUGCAUUUUUGACGUUACUCGCAGAAGAAGCACCGGCUAACUCUGUGCCAGCAGCCGCAGUAAGAC
rnacentral:rRNA from 1 species